GGGCCUGUGGUCUAGUCGUUAUGACGUCUCCCUUACACGGAGAAGGUCGUAGGUUCAAAUCCUACCAGGCCCA
rnacentral:tRNA from 1 species